rnacentral:rRNA from 1 species
UACAUGGGGUGCAAACGUUGCUCGGAAUCAUUGGGCGUAAAGCGCGCGUAGGCGGUUACUUAAGUUGGAUGUGAAAGCCCUCGGCUUAACCGAGGAAGUGCAUCCAAAACUGAGUAGCUAGAGUACGAAAGAGGGUCGCGGAAUUCCCGGUGUAGAGGUGAAAUUCGUAGAUAUCGGGAGGAACACCGGUGGCGAAGGCGGCGACCUGGGUCGAGACUGACGCUGAGGCGCGAAAGCGUGGGAGCAAACAGG